UACGGAGGGUGCUAGCGUUGUUCGGAAUCACUGGGCGUAAAGGGCGUGUAGGCGGUCUGUUAAGUCUGAUGUGAAAUCCCCUCGCUCAACGAGGGAACUGCGUCGGAUACUGGCAGACUCGAGUACCGGAGAGGAAGGUGGAAUUCCCGGUGUAGCGGUGAAAUGCGUAGAUAUCAGGAAGAACACCCGUGGCGAAGGCGGCUCUCUGGAACGCAACUGACGCUGAGACGCGAAAGCGUGGGGAGCAAACAGG
rnacentral:rRNA from 1 species